GGCUCAGGACGAACGCUGGCGGCGUGCUUAACACAUGCAAGUCGAGCGGUAAGGCCUCUUUGGGGGUACACGAGCGGCGAACGGGUGAGUAACACGUGGGUGACCUGCCUCCUACUUUGGGAUAAGCUUGGGAAACUGGGUCUAAUACCGGAUAUGACCACAUGUCGCAUGGUGUGUGGUGGAAAGCCAGGGACUUUUGUUUCUGGUGGUGGGGGAUGGGCCCGCGGCCUAUCAGCUUGUUGGUGGGGUGAUGGCCUACCAAGGCGACGACGGGUAGCCGGCCUGAGAGGGCGACCGGCCACACUGGGACUGAGACACGGCCCAGACUCCUACGGGAGGCAGCAGUGGGGAAUAUUGCGCAAUGGGCGGAAGCCUGACGCAGCGACGCCGCGUGGGGGAUGACGGCCUUCGGGUUGUAAACCUCUUUCGCCAGGGACGAAGCGUGUGUGACGGUACCUGGAGAAGAAGCACCGGCCAACUACGUGCCAGCAGCCGCGGUAACACGUAGGGUGCGAGCGUUGUCCGGAAUUAUUGGGCGUAAAGAGCUCGUAGGCGGUGUGUCGCGUCGGCCGUGAAAACUUGCAGCUUAACUGUGGGCGUGCGGUCGAUACGGGCAUCACUGGAGUUCGGCAGGGGAGACUGGAAUUCCUGGUGUAGCGGUGAAAUGCGCAGAUAUCAGGAGGAACACCGGUGGCGAAGGCGGGUCUCUGGGCCGAUACUGACGCUGAGGAGCGAAAGCGUGGGGAGCGAACAGGAUUAGAUACCCUGGUAGUCCACGCCGUAAACGUUGGGCGCUAGGUGUGGGGGCCAUUCCACGGUCUCUGUGCCGUAGCUAACGCAUUAAGCGCCCCGCCUGGGGAGUACGGCCGCAAGGCUAAAACUC
rnacentral:rRNA from 1 species